AGGGCUUUAUAUUCUUUGGAUAGCUUAAUUUGGCUUACACUAAAUUGUGUGUGUGCAGCUAUGUUUAAUUGAAGCCCAAAUAUACGUUCUCCUCGCUAUCCAAUGCAACCUUUUAUGUUGUAUUUGGACUUUGGAGAUCUACAUGC